CAAGUCGAGCGAUGAAGCACCCUCGGGUGUGAAUUAGCGGCGAACGGGUGAGGAACACGUGAAGAAUCUGCCUUCAACUCUGGGAUAACUCCGGGAAACCGGGGCUAAUACCGGAUAUGAGCCUUGAUCGCAUGAUCGGGGCUGGAAAGUUUUUCGGUUGAAGAUGACUUCGCGGCCUAUCAGCUUGUUGGUGAGGUAAUGGCUCACCAAGGCGACGACGGGUAGCCGGCCUGAGAGGGCGACCGGCCACACUGGGACUGAGACACGGCCCAGACUCCUACGGGAGGCAGCAGUGGGGAAUAUUGGGCAAUGGAGGAAACUCUGACCCAGCGACGCCGCGUGAGGGAUGAAGGCCUUCGGGUUGUAAACCUCUUUCAGUAGGGAAGAAGCGAAAGUGACGGUACCUACAGAAGAAGCACCGGCUAACUAUGUGCCAGCAGCCGCGGUAAUACAUAGGGUGCAAGCGUUGUCCGGAAUUAUUGGGCGUAAAGAGCUCGUAGGUGGUUCGAUACGUCGGAUGUGAAAAUCAGGGGCUCAACCCCUGACCUGCAUCCGAUACGGUCGAGCUAGAGUUUGGUAGGGGAGACUGGAAUUCCUGGUGUAGCGGUGGAAUGCGCAGAUAUCAGGAGGAACACCGAUGGCGAAGGCAGGUCUCUGGGCCAAUACUGACACUGAGGAGCGAAAGCGUGGGGAGCGAACAGGAUUAGAUACCCUGGUAGUCCACGCCGUAAACGGUGGGCGCUAGUUGUGCGAACCUUCCACGGUUUGUGCGACGCAGCUAACGCAUUAAGCGCCCCGCCUGGGGAGUACGAUCGCAAGAUUAAAACUCAAAGGAAUUGACGG
rnacentral:rRNA from 1 species